rnacentral:lncRNA from 1 species
UGGUGCUGCCCCGUCCCUGCAGACAGCCAAGGUCAGGGAAUGGGGCUCUGAGCACUGCUGGAGCUGCGGGUGUCGCUGCUCAGUGGGACCAGACGGACUCUAAGGGUCCCUUCCAAUGGAAACAAUUCUAUGGCCUAGGGCCAGGUUCCCAGGCAAUCUCUAUCAUGUCAUAAUUCUUUGUAAUUCCAGGGUUUGGAGUGUCAGAACCAGCCAGCAAGAGGAAAACGAUACCACAAUUCACCUUGCAAGUGACACCCCGAAUUUCUGACCCUGGCGUAACUCAUAGCAAACUGCAGAUAACAGAAGUGUCCAAAUGCCUCUGCAUUACAUGUACCACAGCGGGUAACUUCCCCACGAGACACCAAUGCUGCAGUGCUGAACAGAAGGGAUGGCUCUGGGAGGGCAGGAGGGCCAACGGGGCACGGGAUGGGAGGGAGGUACUCACCCAUCUCUCCCUUUACUGACGAUCUUCACUUCGAAGUAAUAAAUGCCACAGGCUGCGGGUAUGGGAUGCGUGGCCCUGACCGAGGCAGCGUCUUUGUGGUUCUUACCAUGACCUUUGUAGUGGACGCGCAGGUUGCCCUGCGAGAGGCCGAUGUAGUUGUACUUGUCCUUGGGGCUCCAGGAGCGCGGCAGCGGCGUCUCCUCCUGGUUGACGGCCGGGUAGAGGCGGCGGAGGCGCCGGCUCAGCUCCUGCUCCUCGGGCGGCCCCGGAGCCGCCGCGUCCCCCCCGUGCGGGCUCCCCGCGCCCGCCUCCGCCAUCUUGGAUUCGCU